CCUACGGGGUGCAGCAGUGAGGAAUAUUGGUCAAUGGACGAGAGUCUGAACCAGCCAAGUAGCGUGAAGGAUGACUGCCCUAUGGGUUGUAAACUUCUUUUAUAUGGGAAUAAAAUGUUCCACGUGUGGGAUUUUGUAUGUACCAUAUGAAUAAGGAUCGGCUAACUCCGUGCCAGCAGCCGCGGUAAUACGGAGGCUCCGAGCGUUAGCCGGAUUUAUUGGGUUUAAAGGGAGCGUAGGUGGAUUGUUAAGGCAGUUGUGAAAGUUUGCGGCUCAACCGUAAAAUUGCAGUUGAAACUGGCAGUCUUGAGUACAGUAGAGGUGGGCGGAAUGCGUGGUGUAGCGGUGAAAUGCUUAGAUAUCACGAAGAACUCCGAUUGCGAAGGCAGUUCACUGGACUGCAACUGACACUGAGGCUCGAAAGUGUGGGUAUCAAACAGGAUUAGAUACCCUAGUAGUC
rnacentral:rRNA from 1 species